rnacentral:lncRNA from 1 species
UGUCUGUCAGCGGGGAAGCCGGCAGCGCUCCGUCGCGGGCUCUCCCGGUCGCAGCCCUCGGGAAUCACGUCGGCCAGAGGGAGAAGGGACCGGAAGCGCAACCGGGAGCUUUUCCUUCGUCUCCUCCCCCACGCCUCGGGGGCGGGGAGCAGCUACAGCUGUCACAGGCUCCGGGCAACCAACCGCCGAGGACACUUGCACCCGCGACCUCUCAACCCGGUCUCCGGCGCUUGCACCCUACCCGCGAAGCCGGAAGCGAGCAGACCGGAAGUGCGGGGUCUUAGGCCCCGGACAGCCUCUCUCUAGAAGCCAAGCCCGGGCCCCGCCACGUCUCUAUGGUGCGCGCGCGUCUCCCAGGGGGCUGGGUCCUCCCGACUCCGCCCCGGGCCGCGGCCCUGUGAACUACAUCCGGGAAUCCGCACGGACCGUUGCCGGGGUAACCGGGUUGCAGCGUAGAGGAACAGUCCAUAGUUUGCGAAGUGCAGCCCUCCAGCCAGACAUCCUCUACCCUUUUCCCACACGCGUACUCCGUGUCUGGAGGGUGGAGGUGGCCGUAGCUCACCACCGCGGAGCCGAAAGUUUGUCAACCACCGGAGAGAAGAACGGGAUGCGGAAGGGAUGGAGCGAAGAUGAGUGUACCGGCGCUGGCAGCACGGAAGCCCGGCCCUCGCUUUCUUAGGUUUCUCGCUAGCUCUCCGCGAUCACCGCACUCUUACCAGUCUGUGCACCAAGACCGGCAACCGUGAACGUGCGGUGGUAGCUCUGUUUCUGUGCUUGCUCUCUGACAGUGGGCUCAUAGUACUUUUCUUCGCUGCUCCUCUUUUGCCGGCAACCGAACUCUGCCUUCUUGCUCAUCCCCUCUUAAGUAGAUCGCUGACGCCCCGUCCACAGAAACAGUUCAACUGUCCCUUCUCCCAGAGCUCUUCUUGGUCGUUUCCUACCAGACUUUGGGGGUACCUGCGAGAAUCUUCCCUAUUCCCAGCGGUGUUAGAUAAUGAGUUUAAAUAUCCUUGUACUGUGUCUUCCUCAGUCUGGUUAAUAGUAACACUACAUACAUUUACAUAAUGCACUACACAUAUUUCAAACCUAAAUAACGGUAUUGUCUUAGAUUGCUAGCACAUCAACUCAAACAAAACAUCAACAAAAACAGUGCUGACAUGCCCAAACAUAAAUCUUGUAUAAAGGGCUUUUCUGUUCUGAAAUUGAGCUAUAAAGGGAGUGGUGGGUGGGUACCAAUUCUCUCAAACUGUAAUUAUUCUGCAAUGUAUUGUGAAUUUUCCUACUCAAAACCAUCCUCUUGAGUUGAAACCCAUUAGUCUUCUCCAUUAUUAGAAAGGGGCCCCUGUCUAGUGUAACUCUUGCUCUCGUUCUGUAAGAACUGAAUAAGACUUGUAGCUAAGUGCAAGUGUCAUCAUGUACAGGGCUUCUGAAGGGUGACUUGGAAAACAUGUCUUGCAAUGCCCGGUUGUGUAUGAAUGGUGUGGACAGCUAGUACAUAACAAAACUGGGUGUCUCCUUGAGGAUGCCUGGUGGUGUUUCUUUAAAUUUGGGGAUACUUGGCUUCUUUUAUUAUCUAUUUGUUCUUAAGUUGUAUACUUUCUCUAGGAAUUGCUGAUAGUUUUUAUGAUGGUUCUGAUGGACUUGGAACUAAUGCUAAUUUUCUUUGAUAAAGAUGCUAUUAGUUGUCUAUUUUAAGUAACUGAUCGAUCAGUCCAGUGAGGUUCUGGUAUUCUGCAUGAUUAUCCUUAUCCAUAAUAUUGUGGUGAGCAAGACUAUGAUGGGAUUAAUUUAUUUCUCCCAAGAUUUCUUUUGCCCCAAGAGAAAUGCAAAUGUAGGCCCACCUUUAGAAACACUGAAAUCUGCUUCUGUUGGUGAUGAAGAAUUGCAAAAUACUUCUGUACAUCAUUUGGACUGAAGGAAGCAGAGGCUUGUGUUCUUUGGAUUUGGGGAAAUUUUUCACUCGUGUGUGUGUGUGUGUGUGUGUGUGUGUGUGUGUGUUACUUGAGAUCAAUUUUUUAUACCAAACGUUUAAACCUAUUUCUACUUAAAUGAAAAUUUAUUUUCCUUUCCUUCUUUUUUCUUCCUUCUUUUUUCUUCCUGUCUUCUUUCUCUCCUUUUUUUCUAAUACAAUUUUGUCCCUUUUUGCCCCCAAAGAAUUCUGUCUGUCCAUUCUGCUUAGAAAGAAUAAAAGAUUCCUAUUCC